rnacentral:rRNA from 1 species
UACGGAGGGGGGCUAGCGUUGUUCGGAAUUACUGGGCGUAAAGCGCACGUAGGCGGCUUUGCAAGUUAGAGGUGAAAAGCCCCGGGGCUCAACUCCGGAAUUGCCUUUAAAACUGCAUCGCUAGAAUUGUGGAGAGGUAAGUGGAAUUCCGAGUGUAGAGGUGAAAUUCGUAGAUAUUCGGAAGAAUACCAGUGGCGAAGGCGACUUACUGGACACAUAUUGACGCUGAGGUGCGAAAGCGUGGGGAGCAAACAGG